rnacentral:rRNA from 1 species
UACGUAGGGUGCAAGCGUUGUCCGGAAUUAUUGGGCGUAAAGAGCUCGUAGGCGGUCUGUCGCGUCGGCUGUGAAAUCCCGAGGCUCAACCUCGGGUCUGCAGUCGAUACGGGCAAACUAGAGUAUUGCAGGGGAGACUGGAAUUCCUGGUGUAGCGGUGAAAUGCGCAGAUAUCAGGAGGAACACCGGUGGCGAAGGCGGGUCUCUGGGCCGAUACUGACGGCUGGAGGAGCGAAAGCGUGGGGAGCAAACAGG